GACGAACCGUGCGAACGUUGUUCGGAUUCACUGGGCUUAAAGGGCGCGUAGGCGGGCAUCCAAGUCAGGGGUGAAAUCUUUCGGCCCAACCGGAAAAGUGCCUCUGAUACUGGAUGCCUCGAGUGAGGUAGGGGCAUGUGGAACUUCCGGUGGAGCGGUGAAAUGCGUAGAUAUCGGGAGGAACACCAAUGGCGAAGGCAGCUCGCUGGGACGGUACUGACGCUGAGACGCGAAAAGCGUGGGGGAGCAAACAGGG
rnacentral:rRNA from 1 species